rnacentral:rRNA from 1 species
AUUGAACGCUGGCGGCAUGCUUUACACAUGCAAGUCGAACGGUAACAGGCCGCAAGGUGCUGACGAGUGGCGAACGGGUGAGUAAUGCAUCGGAACGUGCCCAGUCGUGGGGGAUAACGCAGCGAAAGUUGCGCUAAUACCGCAUACGAUCUAUGGAUGAAAGCGGGGGACCGUAAGGCCUCGCCCGAUUGGAGCGGCCGAUGUCAGAGUAGGUAGUUGGUGGGGUAAAGGCUCACCAAGCCGACGAUCUGUAGCUGGUCUGAGAGGACGACCAGCCACACUGGGACUGAGACACGGCCCAGACUCCUACGGGAGGCAGCAGUGGGGAAUUUUGGACAAUGGGCGCAAGCCUGAUCCAGCAAUGCCGCGUGCAGGAAGAAGGCCUUCGGGUUGUAAACUGCUUUUGUACGGAACGAAACGGUCCUGGUUAAUACCCGGGGCUAAUGACGGUACCGUAAGAAUAAGCACCGGCUAACUACGCGCCAGCAGCCGCCGCCGUAA